rnacentral:rRNA from 1 species
UACGUAGGUGGCAAGCGUUGUCCGGAAUUAUUGGGCGUAAAGCGCGCGCAGGCGGUUUCUUAAGUCUGAUGUGAAAGCCCACGGCUCAACCGUGGAGGGUCAUUGGAAACUGGGAAACUUGAGUGCAGGAGAGAAGAGUGGAAUUCCACGUGUAGCGGUGAAAUGCGUAGAGAUGUGGAGGAACACCAGUGGCGAAGGCGGCUCACUGGCUCGUAUCUGACGCUCAGGCGCGACAGCGUGGGGAUCAAACAGG